rnacentral:pre_miRNA from 1 species
AUACUACUCCUUCUGUUCGGAAUUACUCGUCCAAGAAAUGAAUGUAUCUAGAUGUAUUUUAGUUGUAGAUACAUCUAUUUUUGUGACAAGUAAUUCCGAACGGAGGGAGUAUUAC